CCUACGGGGGGCAGCAGUGAGGAAUAUUGGUCAAUGGACGAGAGUCUGAACCAGCCAAGUAGCGUGAAGGAUGACUGCCCUAUGGGUUGUAAACUUCUUUUAUAUGGGAAUAAAAUGUUCCACGUGUGGGAUUUUGUAUGUACCAUAUGAAUAAGGAUCGGCUAACUCCGUGCCAGCAGCCGCGGUAAUACGGAGGAUCCGAGCGUUAUCCGGAUUUAUUGGGUUUAAAGGGAGCGUAGGUGGAUUGUUAAGUCAGUUGUGAAAGUUUGCGGCUCAACCGUAGAAUUGCAGUUGAAACUGGCAGUCUUGAGUACAGUAGAGGUCGGCGGAAUGCGUGGUGUAGCGGUGAAAUGCUUAGAUAUCACGAAGAACUCCGAUUGCGAAGGCAGUUCACUGGACUGCAACUGACACUGAGGCUCGAAAGUGUGGGUAUCAAACAGGAUUAGAUACCCUGGUAGUC
rnacentral:rRNA from 1 species